AUUGAACGCUGGCGGCAGGCUUAACACAUGCAAGUCGGGCGGAGAUGAGGUGCUUGCACCUUAUCUUAGCGGCGGACGGGUGAGUAAUGCUUAGGAAUCUGCCUAUUAGUGGGGGACAGCAUUCCGAAAGGAAUGCUAAUACCGCAUACGUCCUACGGGAGAAAGCAGGGGAUCUUCGGACAUCGCGCUAAUAGAGGAGCCUAAGUCGGAUUAGCUAGUUGGUGGGGUAAAGGCCUACCAAGGCGACGAUCUGUAGCGGGUCUGAGAGGAUGAUCCGCCACACUGGGACUGAGACACGGCCCAGACUCCUACGGGAGGCAGCAGUGGGGAAUAUUGGACAAUGGGGGAAACCCUGAUCCAGCCAUGCCGCGUGUGUGAAGAAGGCCUUAUGGUUGUAAAGCACUUUAAGCGAGGAGGAGGCUACUGAGACUAAUACUCUUGGAUAGUGGACGUUACUCGCAGAAUAAGCACCGGCUAACUCUGUGCCAGCCGCCGCCGUAACAC
rnacentral:rRNA from 1 species